GAUGAACGCUAGCUACAGGCUUAACACAUGCAAGUCGAGGGGUAACGAGAGGAAAGCUUGCUUUCCUUGUCGACGACCGGCGCACGGGUGAGUAACGCGUAUCCAACCUGCCCCCAACUAGGGAAUAACCUUGCGAAAGUAAGACUAAUACCCUAUAAUUUCCUCAGAUGACAUCUGACGAGGAAUAAAGAUUUAUCGGUUGUGGAUGGGGAUGCGUCUGAUUAGCUUGUUGGCGGGGUAACGGCCCACCAAGGCAACGAUCAGUAGGGGUUCUGAGAGGAAGGUCCCCCACAUUGGAACUGAGACACGGUCCAAACUCCCACGGGAGGCAGCAGUGAGGAAUAUUGGUCAAUGGGCGGAAGCCUGAACCAGCCAAGUAGCGUGCAGGAUGACGGCCCUAUGGGUUGUAAACUGCUUUUAUACAGAAAUAAAGUUAGCCACGUGUGGUUAUUUGUAGGUACUGUAUGAAUAAGGACCGGCUAAUUCCGUGCCAGCCGCCGCCGUAA
rnacentral:rRNA from 1 species